rnacentral:rRNA from 1 species
AUUGAACGCUGGCGGCAUGCCUUACACAUGCAAGUCGAACGGUAACAGGUUAAGCUGACGAGUGGCGAACGGGUGAGUAAUGUAUCGGAACGUGCCCAGUCGUGGGGGAUAACUGCUCGAAAGAGCAGCUAAUACCGCAUACGACCUGAGGGUGAAAGCGGGGGAUCGCAAGACCUCGCGCGAUUGGAGCGGCCGAUAUCAGAUUAGGUAGUUGGUGAGGUAAAGGCUCACCAAGCCGACGAUCUGUAGCUGGUCUGAGAGGACGACCAGCCACACUGGGACUGAGACACGGCCCAGACUCCUACGGGAGGCAGCAGUGGGGAAUUUUGGACAAUGGGCGCAAGCCUGAUCCAGCCAUGCCGCGUGCGGGAAGAAGGCCUUCGGGAUGUAAACCGCUUUUGUCAGGGAAGAAAAGGUUCUGGCUAAUACCUGGGACUCAUGACGGUACCUGAAGAAUAAGCACCGGCUAACUACGUG